AAGGAAAUAAGGUUUUUUAGAAGAUUCUGAAACUUGAUGAAUUAGCCUACAAAUCCCUUUGCGCAGCAUCUUGCUUCAGAAGACGUGUAUGUAUGUUUAGCGAUCAACGUUAGUAAUAAUUUGUAUAUUUUAGGACUGCUGUCAGUAAACGUUAGUAAUCGAAAACGAAUAUAAUUCUUUAAUUCAUUGAGAAUACAGCAGGGAAACCAGCAAGUGGAGAAUACAGUGACACAGACGGUGCCUUGACGUACGUUAGUGGUGUAUGUAUAUCGAAAACUAAGCUUGGUUUUGGAUAAUUGCUUUCUUCAUGAUUAAUAUGAUUAAUUUAAUAUCUUAGUAAAAAUUCCUAAUCAGUAGUUUAAGUCGUUUAUUGGUUAAAAAUAGAAUGGUAGAAUAAGACAAGUGAUACACUAGGAGCUGAUAUUUAGUAUACGCAUAGACCCAAAUUAAUUCAAAUGCUAGUAUUUUUUGACUGUAUAAUAGUUUCUUCA